AGCCUUAUAUUCAUUAAUAUGAUAUAAAAUUGCAAAUUUUAAGGUAUAAAUAAAAUUAUUAAGGCUU
rnacentral:tRNA from 1 species